AGUGAACGCUGGCGGCGUGCUUAACACAUGCAAGUCGAACGAGAACGGGCUAUAGCUUGCUAUAGUUGUCAGCUAAGUGGCGCACGGGUGAGUAAUGUAUAGGUAAUAUGCCUCUUACUAAGGGAUAACAAAUGGAAACGUUUGCUAAUACCUUAUACUCCUUAUUAACAGAAGUUAAUAAGGGAAAGAUUUAUUGGUAAGAGAUUAGCCUGUAUUGUAUCAGUUAGUUGGUGGGGUAAUGGCUUACCAAGACUAUGACACAUAACUGGUUUGAGAGGAUGAUCAGUCACACUGGACUGAGACACGGUCCAG
rnacentral:rRNA from 1 species